AGGGGUGUAGCUCAGUUGGUAGAGCAGCGGUCUCCAAAACCGCAGGCCGCAGGUUCGAGUCCUGUCGCCCCUGCCA
rnacentral:tRNA from 1 species